UUGGGAGUAAGUUAAGGGGGGUGUCUUUAGCGUGGAUGAGGUUUUUAAAUAUUUUGCCAGUUAGAAAAUCUCGCUUGUUUUCCAAGGUGUGUAUGUUGGCUUCGGAUAGAAGGUUGUUAGUGGGUGUGGUGCGGAAUGCACCCAGGGCGGCUCUUGUUGCUGCGUUUAUCGUAGAUUUCAGCCGGUUAAGCUGGCUUUUUGGUGCGUAACCGUAUAUGGGGAGGCAGAAGUCGACUUUGGAUAUGAUUAGGGAUUUGAUAAUUUGUACAAGUGAUGAGGUGUGGCAGUUGUAUUUUAGGGACGAGAGGUGUUUGAUAAUGCCUAGUGGCUUAGCAAGGUCAACUUUGAGUUUGUUGAUGUGAGAGAUCCAGUUGUAUUUGGUGUUGAUUGUGAGGCCAAGGAUUCUGAGUGUGUCGGUAGCUUGGAUGGUUGUGCCACCGGUGAGUAUCUUGGGUUUGCAGUUGUGUUUGCGGCAUAUAUGAAGGAGUUGGGAUUUUUCUUUAGAGAGGAUUGAGCCUGAGUGAUUGCACCAGUCGUCUAUUUGGUUAAAUAUUGUUUGGAUGUUAGUUGUGGGACUUUUUUGUUUGUUGUGAUUGGUGAGUAGGUGGAAGUCGUCGGCGUACGCGCAAAAUUUGAUUUGUUUGUGGAGGGAGAUGAUAUCGGUGAGUGAGUUGUAAGCUAUGAGGAAAAGGAGGACGGAGAUUGGGGAGCCUUGGGGAAUGCCAUUAUUUAGAGGGAAGAUAUUUGAUAAGCUUCUGCCGGUUUUGACGAGGAUUUUCCUGUUGGACAUAAAGUUCUUAACAUAAUUAUAAUAAUUAAUUAAGUAUUCGUGGCCCUACUUUCCACUUUUUUAGUUGGUUUAUUACUGUGUGAAUACCAAUUCUGUCGAAGGCUUUGGUGAAGUCUAGCGAGAUGACUGUGAGGUGUUUUUUCAGGGCGAUAGCUCUGGUAGCUAGGUGGUCUACAUAAAGUAGACUGUCUAGUACAGAUUUGCCUCUUUUGAACCCUAGUUGGUUGUUGUGGAUCAGGUUGUUAUUUAAAACAAACCACCACAACCUUUUUGCGACGAUCUUGUCCAGAGUUUUGGCUAGGCAUGAGUUUAGGGAGAUGGGUCUGUAAGAUUUGAUAUCGGUUUGUGGCUUUUGUGGUUUUAAGAUGGGAAGGACUAGGCUGAGUUUAAGGGAUUGUGGGAUGGAGGAGUCGAGUAUCUUGUUGUAGAGGGUUAGGAUUCUGGUUUUGAGGGGGUAGGGUGAGUUCUUUAGCAUAGGGUAAGAGAUUCGGUCUAGACCAGGAGUGUUGCCUUUCAAGGUGGACAGUGCUGAUGUGAAUUCGAUUAAUGUUAUGUCUUUCUCGAUUUCUAGGGCUGAAGGUGUUGGGUUAUAGUUAGAAGGGGUAUUAAUGAGGAGUUUGUUGGACAGGAAUGUUGGGGAGAAGUUGAGGUCGUCUGCUUCUUCUGACCAUGUCUGGGCAAAGGAGUUAGCUAUUUCGGAUUGACAGGUUGUUUGUGAUUGGGUGUACGGGUUGUGAAUGGCAUGGAUAUUUUUAGUAGGGUUAAGACCGCAGAGACGUCUGAUGUUGGACCAUGUUGUGGUUGGAUCUGAGUUUGGGUGUAUAUGGGUUGUGAACUCAAGGAUCGAUUUACGUUUGGCUUCUCUAAUUGCUCUUUUUAAACACGCUUUUGCUUUUUUAUAUUCUAUGAUGUUAUGGUUGCUAAUGUUGUGCUUGAGGUAGUUCCAUUUUACGACUUUGUCUCUUUUGAGGAGUGAAAGUUGUUUGUUCCACCAGGGAACAGUGCGGGUGAGAGAGAAGGUGGUGUUUUGUGGGAUAGAAAGGUGGGCACUUUGGAUAAGUAUUUUUUUUAUUAGGGCGGCUUCUUUAUUGACAUUGUUAUCUGAUUGGGUUGUGGAGAUGGAGCGGGCUGCAUGUUUCCUGAAGAGAUCCAAGUCUGCGUUUUUGAGAUUGAAAGUAGGUUUAGUGGUGAAGGCGGAGGGGGGAUAGGGAGAUGGAGUGUUGAAUAGUGUAAGUAAGAUGGGAAAGUGGUCAGAACCGUAAAGGUCAUCUAUCACUUGCCAGAGGAUCUCUGGAGCAAUUCUGGAUGUUGCAAGUGAGAGAUCGAUGUGGGUAAAUGUGUUGUGUGUUGAGAAGUGGGUCGGAGUAUUAUCAUUAAGUAGGAUGAAGUUCGAGCGGUCUAGGAAUGAGGCUAAUGUUUUCCCGCUGCAGUUGGCCUUAGGU